UGGCUCAGAUUGAACGCUGGCGGCAGGCCUAACACAUGCAAGUCGAGCGGCAGCACGGGUACUUGUACCUGGUGGCGAGCGGCGGACGGGUGAGUAAUGCCUAGGAAUCUGCCUGGUAGUGGGGGAUAACGUUCGGAAACGAACGCUAAUACCGCAUACGUCCUACGGGAGAAAGCAGGGGACCUUCGGGCCUUGCGCUAUCAGAUGAGCCUAGGUCGGAUUAGCUAGUUGGUGAGGUAAUGGCUCACCAAGGCGACGAUCCGUAACUGGUCUGAGAGGAUGAUCAGUCACACUGGAACUGAGACACGGUCCAGACUCCUACGGGAGGCAGCAGUGGGGAAUAUUGGACAAUGGGCGAAAGCCUGAUCCAGCCAUGCCGCGUGUGUGAAGAAGGUCUUCGGAUUGUAAAGCACUUUAAGUUGGGAGGAAGGGCAGUUACCUAAUACGUAAUUGUUUUGACGUUACCGACAGAAUAAGCACCGGCUAACUCUGUGCCAGCAGCCGCGGUAAUACAGAGGGUGCAAGCGUUAAUCGGAAUUACUGGGCGUAAAGCGCGCGUAGGUGGUUCGUUAAGUUGGAUGUGAAAUCCCCGGGCUCAACCUGGGAACUGCAUUCAAAACUGUCGAGCUAGAGUAUGGUAGAGGGUGGUGGAAUUUCCUGUGUAGCGGUGAAAUGCGUAGAUAUAGGAAGGAACACCAGUGGCGAAGGCGACCACCUGGACUGAUACU
rnacentral:rRNA from 1 species